rnacentral:rRNA from 1 species
GAUGAACGCUGGCGGCGUGCCUAAUACAUGCAAGUCGAGCGAUCAGACGAGGGCCUUCCUCUUCUGACGUUAUCGGCGGACGGGUGAGUAACACGUGUAUAACCUCUCUAUAAGACUGGGAUAACUUCGGGAAACUGGCGCUAAUACCGGAUAAUAUAUUGAACCGCAUUGUUCAAUAGUGAAAGACGGUUUUGCUGUUACUUAUUGAUGGUUCCUCGUCUCAUUAGCUUGUUGGUAAGGUAACGGCUUACAAAGACAAUGCUUCGUAGCCGACCUGGGAGGGUGAUCGACAAAACUGGAACGGAAAACGGGCCAGAACUCCUAGGGGAGGCAGAAGAAGGGAAUCUUCGGCAAUGGGCGAAAGCCGGACGGGGAAACGCCGGGUGGGUAAGGAAGGUCUUCGGAUCGAAAGACUUUGUUAAAAGGAAAAAAGAGAUGUGUAAGUAAAAAUGCACGUCGUGACGGUACCUAAUCAGAAAGCGACGGCUAACUACGUG